rnacentral:rRNA from 1 species
UACAGAGGGUGCGAGCGUUAAUCGGAAUUACUGGGCGUAAAGGGCGCGUAGGCGGCGCGAGAAGUCGAGUGUGAAAGCCCCGGGCUCAACCUGGGAAUUGCGCUCGAUACUCUUGUGCUUGAGUUCGGGAGAGGAGCGUGGAAUUCCCAGUGUAGAGGUGAAAUUCGUAGAUAUUGGGAAGAACACUGGUGGCGAAGGCGGCGCUCUGGGCCGGAUACUGACGCUGAGGAGCGAAAGCGUGGGGAGCGAACAGG